GGGAAUGUGGCUUAGUGGGAAGAGUAGUCAUCUUGCAAUGUGAAAGUUGUGGGUUCAAUCCCAGCUUCUUCCU